UACGGAGGAUGCAAGCGUUAUCCGGAAUUAUUGGGCGUAAAGAGCUCGUAGGCGGUUUGUCGCGUCUGCUGUGAAAAUCCAGGGCUUAACCCUGGACCUGCAGUGGGUACGGGCAGACUGGAGUGCGGUAGGGGAGAUCGGAAUUCCUGGUGUAGCGGUGAAAUGCGCAGAUAUCAGGAAGAACACCCGUGGCGAAGGCGGCUCUCUGGGACGGUACUGACGCUGAGACGCGAAAGCGUGGGGAGCGAACAGG
rnacentral:rRNA from 1 species